CUGGCUGGUGUGGCUCAGUGAAGUGUCCACCUGAGAAUCAAAUGGUUGGCAUUUCAAUUCCCAGUCAGGGCACAUGCCGGGGUUGCUGGCCAGGUUCCCAAUAG